rnacentral:rRNA from 1 species
AGUGUAGGCGGCUUCGUAAGUCGGAUGUGAAAGCCCUGGGCUUAACCUGGGAAUUGCAUUCGAUACUGCGCGGCUAGAGUCUGAUAGAGGGAAGUGGAAUUCCAGGUGUAGCGGUGAAAUGCGUAGAGAUCUGGAGGAACACCAGUGGCGAAGGCGGCUUUCUGGAUCAAGACUGACGCUGAGGCUCGAAAGCGUGGGGAGCAAACAGGAUUAGAUACCCUGGUAGUCC